rnacentral:rRNA from 1 species
GGCGAACGCUGGCGGCGUGCUUAACACAUGCAAGUCGAGCGGUAAGGCCCUUUCGGGGGUACACGAGCGGCGAACGGGUGAGUAACACGUGGGUGACCCUGCCCUCAGCUCUGGGAUAAGCCCUGGGAAACCGGGUCUAAUACCGGAUAUGACUCCAUGACGCAUGUUGUGGGGUGGAAAGCCUUGUGCGGCUAGAGGAU